rnacentral:rRNA from 1 species
GAUGAACGCUGGCGGCGUGCCUAAUACAUGCAAGUCGAGCGAACAGAUGAGGAGCUUGCUCCUCUGACGUUAGCGGCGGACGGGUGAGUAACACGUGGAUAACCUACCUAUAAGACUGGGAUAACUUCGGGAAACCGGAGCUAAUACCGGAUAAUAUAUUGAACCGCAUGGUUCAAUAGUGAAAGACGGUUUUGCUGUCACUUAUAGAUGGAUCCGCGCCGCAUUAGCUAGUUGGUAAGGUAACGGCUUACCAAGGCAACGAUGCGUAGCCGACCUGAGAGGGUGAUCGGCGACACGGGAACGGAGACGCGGUCCAGGCGCCUACGGGAGGGAGCAGGAGGGAAUCUUCCGCAACGGGCGAAAGCCUGACGGAGCAACGCCGCGUGAGUGGUGAAGGUCUUCGGAUCGUAAAACUCUGUUAUUAGGGAAGAACAAAUGUGUAAGUAACUAUGCACGUCUUGACGGUACCUAAUCAGAAAGCCACGGCUAACUACGUG